rnacentral:rRNA from 1 species
UACGUAGGGGGCAAGCGUUAUCCGGAUUUACUGGGUGUAAAGGGAGCGUAGACGGCAAUGCAAGUCUGGAGUGAAAGGCGGGGGCCCAACCCCCGGACUGCUCUGGAAACUGUAUAGCUGGAGUGCAGGAGAGGUAAGUGGAAUUCCUAGUGUAGCGGUGAAAUGCGUAGAUAUUAGGAGGAACACCAGUGGCGAAGGCGGCUUACUGGACUGUAAAUGACGCUGAGGCUCGAAAGCGUGGGGAGCAAACAGG